CAAACCCACCCGCCGCUCAUUGACGAAAUUAGGGCAUCGCUCUUCCGCGUCUAUAAAUACCGUUGUUUCACCGAAGAGCCGCACUCGCCUUGCAGAUCAGCGGCGGAAUUGGCGAAAGCGUCGUAUGCGAUGCAACUCCACCACCCUCCGCUCCUUGAAUUCACUUGUUAUCUUUCGUCAAUCACGAAAAUAUUGUGUUUUUGUUGAUGUUUCUUAGAUCUUUAAUCGAGUCCUCGUGGUUUUAUAUUCUCUUUUCGAAUUUUUUUCUCUUUUUUUGUUGGUUUGUUCGUUCACCAAUUCGGUUUAAUAUGGUCUCCUCUGAUGAUCAGAAUUGAAAACUUUCGUUCUUCCGAGGGUAAAUACGCUGCGGAAAAUUCAUGGAGACCUGAACUGAGGAGACCAAUCUUGUUCUGGAAAAUGAGUCGUAUGUCAAAUGAGAGCGACGAGAGAUUGAUACCAAGAGACCAGAUUGACUCACCAUCAAUUGAACAAGGCUGCAGCACGGGUUCCGUAAAGGGAGGAAAUCAUAUGUUGAAGAAGGGUCCCUGGACGUCUGCAGAGGAUGCAGUUUUGGUGGGUUAUGUUAAGAAAUAUGGCGAGGGAAACUGGAUUUCUGUUCAGAAACACAUGGGACUCGGUCGAUGCGGCAAGAGCUGUCGUCUACGAUGGGCUAAUCAUCUCAGGCCAAACUUAGAGAAAGGUGCCUUUACACCAGACGAGGAGCAAGUGAUCAUUGAACUCCAUGCUAAGAUGGGAAACGAAUGGGCUCGGAUGGCUGCACAUGGAAAUCUCAUGCAGUAUUUAAUUGGUAGGAUUUUGAGUAUCCUAAAUCAACUAGGAAAAACACUGAAGAGGAUGGAUCAACCAAGAUAUCUGUUCCCAAAGGGGGUUCUUAUUUUUGUUGUACUUCUUCCAUGUCAUAGAGAGAUUCUUAAACUAUUUUGUUUCCUAGUUAGACUAGUAAUUUGCAUUGCUGUCUCUCUUUCCAUGGCAAUAAAGUUAUUCAUAGUUUACUUGAAUUCAUAGAUUGGGAUUGCCCAUCUCCUUUUGGAUUGGAGAAAACACUUCUUGGAUAUGUCACUUGUAACAACUUGGUUUCAAAGCUUAGUUUAGAAAUGCCUGUGGUGGUUAAGAGAUGGUCAGAUCAGUGAAAGAGACUAUAAUCGAUAAAUUUAGAGUUGAACUUGCAACCAUGAUCAGAGAAGACAAAACGACUGAUGUGACACCAACCAUGAUCAGAGAACAGUGGUCUAUUGGAUGCAUUGCUACAUAGAAGCACAGAAACUAAACAGUGCAAAGAGAGAACCAUGUUCAAGUUGUAUUAUCAGACCAAAUGACAUGGUAGAUUGUUCGGUUCUGAGUUUUGAUGAGACAAAGGUGUCAAAAGAUAACGACCCAAUUUCUCCCUUUGGUUUCUCUGCUUCUUUUGUCCACAAUGAGUGCACUCGUUUGAUGAGGAGCUGCGAAUACGAAUCAUUGCCUUAAUCUUUAUAUCUAUUGGCUGAGUAGAAAAAAGAGAGAAGAAGAAGGAGAGAAGAGAAUAAGAGGCGACAGCUAAAAAGGUUCAACCUAUGGCUUUUUCGUUCUCUCAUAUUUAUAAAGGUUCUUUAUUAAUUUAACAUUAAUGAAUCUUGUCUUAUUUAAUACUAUAUCUUUAUCCAACUAUCGAAACCUCUUAGAUCAGUGGAUCUCUAUCCAAUAAUUUUUCAUUUGCUCUUAUUGAAUCUUAUCUGCUCUUAUUAGAUCUCAUCCAUAGGAUUCAAUAAUUUAAGGAUUUAUUAAAUAUCCAAUAAGAUAUGGGCUCCAACAAAUAUCUUAUAUCUGAACCUCUACGACGUAUGACCCUCUAAGUCCAAUAUCGAGCUGGUUAUAAGUUAUACCCGGUGUUAUAUAUCAUAAGUUAUGUUAUUGUAUUUUCUGAGGACAUGUCACGAGAAAUUCUUGUUGAGAAAUUCUGUUUUGUGUUGAUCUCUUUUACAAUCUGUUUCUUAUGGUUUUUCGGUCUUGAAUUAUACCUCAAUUUACUUUCGUAGUUCUAUCACAAGGUAGCAUAACCUUUGAUAACCUUAGGGAAGGAAUUCAGAUACUAUUUCAUCUCAUCAUAUGCAUUGUGGUUAUGGUUAAUCAACUAUGUGGUGAGAUGAAUGACUUGCUUUUAGCUAAUGAGUGCCAAGUUAUUCCAUUCCAUGCAAUGAAACUGUAGAUCAAAUUAAUUGUUUGCAUCCUAAUAACUCUCGACAAAAAGAACUCGAAGGAGUGAAGAAAGUUAUAGAAGUUGAAAUAUCGUGCAAUUGCUUCGUUGCUUCUUUGGCGCUUCAUCAACGUUAGAUGGUUAAUCGAUACUUUUAUCCGCAGAUAAAUAAUAACGUAGUCAAUACAUAAAAUUAGGUCCUAUUUCCCAAACUCUAUUUUCAAUUGUUAGGUGCUUUUUUUUUUCUUU